rfam:Arabidopsis thaliana chromosome 3, complete sequence.
UGAUGCGAUCAUACCAGCACUAAUGCACUUGAUCCUAUCAGAACACCGCAGUUAAAUGUGCUUGGGCGAGAGUAGUACUAGGAUGGAUGACCUCCAGAAAAGUCUUCGUGUUGCAUCCC